CGUAAUGGAAUCAUCUGUAUGUUGGUCUGAGGGCGAGAGCUGUGAUUGGCUGAGAGAUGCUGAUGGGAAUGUUUAAAUUCUUCCCUUCUGAAGAGGAACGGACAGAUUUUACGGAGAAAUCCCGACGUUUGUGGAGUUAAUGGGAGUAUAUUAGAGGAUAAAGUAUGGAGGUGUUGGUUCUCCUCUCCUGUCUGCUGGCUGGAUCUGCAGCAUUUCCCGUUGCUGAGAGCGACAGUAACGAGGUUCUGCCGCAGGUACAGAGGGUCUCUGGAGCUCUGUGU